rnacentral:rRNA from 1 species
AACGAACGCUGGCGGCAUGCCUAACACAUGCAAGUCGAACGCGUGUGGCAAUACACGAGUGGCGGACGGGUGAGUAACGCGUGGGAACCUGCCCAAUGGUAGGGAAUAACUGCGGGAAACUGCAGCUAAUACCCUAUGCUCCCUACGGGGGAAAGAUUUAUCGCCAUUGGAGGGGCCCGCGUCGGAUUAGCUAGUUGGCGGGGUAACGGCCCACCAAGGCUACGAUCCGUAGCUGGUCUGAGAGGAUGAUCAGCCACACUGGGACUGAGAUACGGCCCAGACUCCUACGGGAGGCAGCAGUGGGGAAUAUUGGACAAUGGGGGAAACCCUGAUCCAGCAAUGCCGCGUGAGUGAAGAAGGCCUUAGGGUUGUAAAGCUCUUUCGGCGGGACGAUGGUGACGGUACCCGCAGAAGAAGCCCCGGCUAACUUCGU